GACGAACGCUGGCGGCGUGCUUAACACAUGCAAGUCGAACGGAAAGGCCUGCUUUCCCUUGUGGAUUGCGGGUACUCGAGUGGCGAACGGGUAAGUAACACGUGAGUGAUCUGCCCCCAACUUGGGUAUAAGCCUGGGAAACUGGGUCUAAUUCCCGAUAGGACUGCAGGGUGGUGCCUGUGGUGGAAAACGAUUUUCUAGUGGUUGGGGAUGAGCUCGCGGCCUAUCAGCUUGUUGGUGGGGUAAUGGCCUACCAAGGCGGCGACGGGUAGCCGGCCUGAGAGGGUGGACGGCCACAUUGGGACUGAGAUACGGCCCAGACUCCUACGGGAGGCAGCAGUGGGGAAUAUUGCACAAUGGGCGGAAGCCUGAUGCAGCGACGCCGCGUGGGGGAUGACGGCCUUCGGGUUGUAAACUCCUUUCGACCGCGAGGAAGCCACCUGGUUGGAAGGGUGGUGACGGUAGUGGUAGAAGAAGCACCGGCUAACUACGUG
rnacentral:rRNA from 1 species